UACAGAGGUCUCAAGCGUUGUUCGGAUUUACUGGGCGUAAAGGGCGCGUAGGCGGCAUGACAAGUCACUUGUGAAAUCUCUGGGCUUAACCCAGAACGGCCAAGUGAUACUGUCACGCUAGAGUGCGGAAGGGGCAAUCGGAAUUCUUGGUGUAGCGGUGAAAUGCGUAGAUAUCGAGAGGAACACCUGCGGCGAAGGCGGGUUGCUGGGCCGACACUGACGCUGAUGCGCGAAAGCCAGGGGAGCGAACGGG
rnacentral:rRNA from 1 species